UAGCCUCUUAAUAGGGCUUGUGUGUGACAGAAAAGGUACUCCAAGGAUAACAGGCUUGUCGCCCCCGAUAGUCCAUAUUGACGGGGCGGUUUGGUACAUCGCUGUCGGCUCUUCCUAUCCUGGUUGUGCAUAAGCAACCAAGGGUGUCGGAGUUCACGCGUUAAAAGGGAUCGUUAGCUGGGUUAAGAACGUUGCGAGACAGUUUGUAUGAUAUCUACUAGGAGUGUUGUGGUUUGAGUGGAACGAGCAAGUAGUACGAGAGGAACCUUGCUUGGAUGCCUCUGGUGAGCGGUUGUUACGAGCAGGCCGCGCAGCUACGCAUUGUGUGGAUAAGUGCUGAAAGCAUCUAAGCACGAAGCCAUCCGCAAGACGAGACCACAUAGGCCGUUAUAGAAGAUAACGUUGAUAGAGUUGGUGUGUAAGAACCGAGGUAACGAGGUUUUAAGCAUGCAACUACUAAUAGCCACACUUCAAAUGCUA
rnacentral:ncRNA from 1 species